GAGUUUGAUCCUGGCUCAGGACGAACGCUGGCGGCGUGCUUAACACAUGCAAGUCGAGCGAUGAAGCUUCCUUCGGGAAGUGGAUUAGCGGCGGACGGGUGAGUAACACGUGGGUAACCUGCCUCAAAGUGGGGGAUAGCCUUCCGAAAGGAAGAUUAAUACCGCAUAAUAUGAGAGAAUCGCAUGAUUUUCUUAUCAAAGAUUUAUUGCUUUGAGAUGGACCCGCGGCGCAUUAGCUAGUUGGUAAGGUAACGGCUUACCAAGGCAACGAUGCGUAGCCGACCUGAGAGGGUGAUCGGCCACAUUGGAACUGAGACACGGUCCAGACUCCUACGGGAGGCAGCAGUGGGGAAUAUUGCGCAAUGGGGGAAACCCUGACGCAGCAACGCCGCGUGGGUGAUGAAGGUCUUCGGAUUGUAAAGCCCUGUUUUCUAGGACGAUAAUGACGGUACUAGAGGAGGAAGCCACGGCUAACUACGUGCCAGCAGCCGCGGUAAUACGUAGGUGGCGAGCGUUGUCCGGAUUUACUGGGCGUAAAGGGUGCGUAGGCGGAUGUUUAAGUGGGAUGUGAAAUCCCCGGGCUUAACCUGGGGGCUGCAUUCCAAACUGGAUAUCUAGAGUGCAGGAGAGGAAAGCGGAAUUCCUAGUGUAGCGGUGAAAUGCGUAGAGAUUAGGAAGAACACCAGUGGCGAAGGCGGCUUUCUGGACUGUAACUGACGCUGAGGCACGAAAGCGUGGGUAGCAAACAGGAUUAGAUACCCUGGUAGUCCACGCCGUAAACGAUGGAUACUAGGUGUAGGGGGUAUCAACUCCCCCUGUGCCGCAGUUAACACAAUAAGUAUCCCGCCUGGGGAGUACGGUCGCAAGAUUAAAACUCAAAGGAAUUGACGGGGGCCCGCACAAGCAGCGGAGCAUGUGGUUUAAUUCGAAGCAACGCGAAGAACCUUACCUGGACUUGACAUCCCUUGCAUAGCCUAGAGAUAGGUGAAGCCCUUCGGGGCAAGGAGACAGGUGGUGCAUGGUUGUCGUCAGCUCGUGUCGUGAGAUGUUAGGUUAAGUCCUGCAACGAGCGCAACCCUUGUUAUUAGUUGCUACCAUUAAGUUGAGCACUCUAAUGAGACUGCCUGGGUAACCAGGAGGAAGGUGGGGAUGACGUCAAAUCAUCAUGCCCCUUAUGUCCAGGGCUACACACGUGCUACAAUGGUAGGUACAAUAAGACGCAAGACCGUGAGGUGGAGCAAAACUUAUAAAACCUAUCUCAGUUCGGAUUGUAGGCUGCAACUCGCCUACAUGAAGCUGGAGUUGCUAGUAAUCGCGAAUCAGAAUGUCGCGGUGAAUACGUUCCCGGGCCUUGUACACACCGCCCGUCACACCAUGAGAGCUGGUAACACCCGAAGUCCGUGAGGUAACCGUAAGGAACCAGCGGCCGAAGGUGGGAUUAGUGAUUGGGGUGAAGUCGUAACAAGGUAGCCGUAGGAGAACCUGCGGCUGGAUCACC
rnacentral:rRNA from 1 species